UACGUAGGGUGCGAGCGUUGUCCGGCAUUAUUGGGCGUAAAGAGCUCGUCGGCGGUGUGUCACGUCGGCCGUGAAAACUCACAGCUUAACUGUGGGCGUGCGGGCGAUACGGGCAGACUGGAGUACUGCAGGGGAGACUGGAAUUCCUGGUGUAGCGGUGGAAUGCGCAGAUAUCAGGAGGAACACCGGUGGCGAAGGCGGGUCUCUGGGCAGUAACUGACGCUGAGGAGCGAAAGCGUGGGGAGCGAACAGG
rnacentral:rRNA from 1 species